AAUAAGUGUAGUUUUGCACUAUUCACGUUCAACGUUUGACCGUUCGUCUUAUUUGAAAUUUUUUUUUUAUGAUUAGUAUUUUUAUUGCUAUUAGAUGAUAAAACAUGAAUAGUACUUUAUGUGUGACUAAUUUUUUUAGUUUUUUUAUUAAUUUUUCAAAUAAGACGAACGGUCAAACGUUGGACACGGAUUCCACAUUUGGACUUAGU
rfam:Oryza glumipatula chromosome 2, whole genome shotgun sequence.